GGCGGUCGCUGGCUGAUCCUUCGGUCAGGCCCAGUUCAGAGCGGCUCCUCCCUCUCCCGGGUGCCAGCCCCCCCUUCCCCUCCCCGGCAGCGCUGCUGCUGCUACUACACCGGGUAGGUUUCCAGUCACUAUGGCGGCUGCGAAGGUCAGAAGAAAGUUUUCGUUGUCGGCGGCCGCCUGAGAACGACACUGAGCGGGAGGCAUCCGGGCCCGGCCUCCAGGCCUCUCCCGUAGCCGGAGCAGGGCCAGCCCCGCUGGGCUAGCGGAGACCUUGCUCCUCAGGAGAGAGCGACAAACGGCAUCCCGAUGCGCAGCCACCUGCGGAGACCCUGAGCGGAGCAGAUCCCUCCCCCUUUGGCCGGGCGGCGGGACACCUCAGGGGGGGAUCUCCCGGAGACUUACUGGUAGCUAGCCCCCGUGAGAAACAUCCCCUGCCCUCCUAAGGCAACCCGCCUCACUGAGACAUCCACGCCCCGCCAAUCUGAGGGGCGAUCCCUCCUUCUGUCAGCCCAACCUUCGUGAGCUCCUGCAAGCCCCCUGUCUGCCACCUCUCCUCCGAGUUGAGGAGGCCCUCGCCCCUUCAGUUCGUCCUGGAAGACCAUUCCUCUUAGUUUCUCCCCGGGUAGCGAAGAGUUUGAAGCCCUUCUCCACCCUUUAUCAAAUUCCUUACCUGAGUGGCCUAUUGAAACUCCUAGCCUCAGGUCAGUUUUUUCUGGUGUAGGGGAAGAGACCAGUGUAGCUUUGCUACCUCUAGUCGAGGACCACCCACUCUACUUUAUCUUACUGCCUGACGAAGAUGAAAUGUGGACUGUCAUGUGGAUCAACUAAACGGACUGUCUUUUGUGGAGCGAAUGCUUCAUACGCGUUCUCCAACUCUUGAUCUGGGCUGUGAGGCUGCCUGGACGCUAAACCUUUUUUAUUCCUUGCCCCCCGCCCCCUAAAUCUUUCCUUGCUUUCCUGCUGCAUUGGUCAAAAUUUUGGUAAGUGCUGUUUACGGAAGGAAAAAAAGAAGGCAGUCUGAAUCCCCAACACAAGUAUUUGUGUGUGACUCAUCUUCUUGGAUUUAAAGACAUCUCCACCUUCAGGGAGUCUUGCUUCUCUUCUGUGAAGUCAGAUGUUUGUUCCUGUUCUUCCUGAUGAGCAUGGAUUGAAAGUUGCACCUUCUAGAUUUUUUCCAGGGUGCUGCUGAUACUAUUAAAGGACAUAAUGGGGCUUUUUCACUGGAUUAUUGCCAGGAUCAGUUUACACACUGCAACAAUGAGUUGUUAGGCAUCUCAUGUACAGGUAACAUUUGUCCUGCUUUAAUGUAAAAUUGCUGGGGAGAUUGGGGAUAAAAAUUUGUUGAAGGCCGUCUGGAUCAGGAAGAGUUUCUCUUCAUCCCUGUUUGGCGUGACAUCCCCAAUCUGUCCUCGAUGCCUUCAGCCUUGGCUAUCUUCACUUGCCGCCCGAACUCUCACCCAUUUCAGGAGCGUCAUGUCUACCUGGACGAGCCUGUCAAAAUCGGCCGUUCGGUGGCUCGCUGCCGGCCAGCUCAGAAUAAUGCUACUUUUGACUGUAAAGUGCUGUCCAGGAACCAUGCCCUUGUCUGGUUUGACCACAAGACAGGCAAGCUUCCAGAUUGUGUAUUUCCGGUUCCAAAUGAGGUGUGUGGUUGACUGGUCAGUUCGUAACUCUGAGGUUCUACUGUACUUCAUUACCUUAUCUAAAAAUUGAUUGUUUUCUCAAAAAAGGAAAUCAGCUCUCUAAUACUCAACUGGAUGAACAGCCACCUCCAAGAGAGUCUGGAGCGUUCCCCUACAAGUUGUGUGGUUGACUGGUCAGUUCGUAACUCUGGUGUUCAUAACUUUGAGGUAUACUGUACCUCUACCUAAAAAAUCAAUUUGUAAUUUUUAAAAAAGCAAUAUGUAUCGAAUUUUAUCCUGCCUCCACUUUUUAUAUGUUGUUUGUCUUACAAUCUAAGCUCUUUGGGGCAGGGACUGUGCUUUUGUCAGUCUUUAUAGAGAAUGUAGAAUAGGAGCUCCAAUCCUGAUUGUGAAGACUCUGGUUUCUACUUAAUAGAAAUGUUAAAUACACAACCUUGUCUUGAACUUUCAAAACUACUGGGGCUCAACAUAUGUAUUGAUGUUCCCUUCUGGAAUGUAAAAUAGGAGAGAAGUAGAUGCUGUACAUCAUCUUGCUAAGGUAAUUUCCCAAAGACAUAAUGGUUGCUAAAAAUUAUGCAUCUUUUUGGAAAGCAAUAAUAUCCAAAUAGUACUCUUCAAACAUAGUGUUACUGUGAUUGGCUGUCUUAUUUGAAACUCCUUCAAGGAACGGAAAAGAUCUAUAAAGACAGAAGUCUCAUGUUUUUUCUCUUAAGGCAAAUUUGAAUUGUGACUCGUUUGCCUCCUGAUACUGACUUGCAUUUCUUCAUAACACAAGCUGAGAUGA